UCAAGCUUGAAAACCUGGAAGCAGAGGAAAAGGCUUUUUAAGCUGAGACCACCAUAUUGGUCCCUGGUUCCCUCAGCUGUAUAAUGCUGUUCUUUUUUGCCUCCAUGCUGUUCGCUAGUUAUCACCUUAAUAAGAAGACUAUCAGAGACCUUCCAGCUCUCAGGCAAGAAGACAGGCCAGACCAAUUAUCCUGAUUCAGCCUCAAAAAAUAAUGGACUUGAAUGGAAUUCCAAAGCCUCCUAAAGGACACUGGAAGUGAAUGAGAAGCUGAAGAGUUAGUGAACCAUCGUCAUUUUAGGUAAUCCACCUGCAUUUUUUCAUGGAAGACCCGAUUUUUAAAGGAAUUUAAGGAAUUGAAAGAUAAUUACACAUGAAACACCUUUGAUCCAGUCUCACCAAACAAAAGAGUCUGCCUUAAAGAAGAAAAAAAAAAAAAGACAAAGAAGCUGUUUCAUUUUAUAUUGGAAAAAUACAACGUGACAUCUGGAGAAUAAAUUGUUCAGUCAGCCAGAAAUAUGCCUUGUAAAAAUUGCUUAGGUUUCUGUAACAAGAUUAUUUACUGCGAGUGUUCACCUAUAAUAGAGCACACUUUUGAAAUGGACCUUUUAUGAAACACAUCAAGCACUGUGGAAAUGUAUUCAGUGCAUUAAUCUACAACACUACACACUUUACAACACUUAUAGAACAGAUUUUGAAACUCAGACUAUCUAAUGAGACAGAAAGUUUUUUCUUUAUAUUUAUUCCAGUCGUGUUUUAUGCUAAGCCCUCAGGGUAUUUAACAUAAUGCAAUAGGGUUUUUUAGAAAAUACAAACAAAAUGUACUACUUUUCAGAUGACUAGUGAGCUUAGGCUGUUCUCUGCAUAUAUUUACGUUGCCUCUAUGUAAGGCAAAUACCAUGUGUAUCUUUUGCUCUAGAGCUUUCUAAAUAUUUAAGCACCUCAAGAUGUGUUGGCUUCUAAUCAUAGCUUUGUGUAAUUAAUGGCAACAAAUUGAUUGUGAUUAUAGUAAAGCCAAAGUAAGGGCCUGAUUCAGAGAGGGUGGAACUGAUUUGCUAUAGCUGUAGGUGUCUCCAGUGAGAUAACAUUGAAAAAUGGAAGAAAUAAAAAGGAUGCAUCUGUGCCUUAUUUUAGGCACUAGGUCUGCAAUGAGCUGCAUAUUUGCUGUAAGAAAGUGGUUUCUAAUUCUGAAUAAUAAGUAGAGGCAGGUUGAAAGCUGAUUCGGGAAAUAUCCAGAUGUAAAAAUGAAAAACUAAAUUCUAUUAGUGAUACGUGUAAAUAGCUAAUGUAUAAAUCCCAAGUAAGAUGACAGUGAUGAAACAGAUUUGGUUUUGCCUGUAAGACAGUUUACAAUGAAGUUGCAGGAACAUAGGAGGGGUUUCUUGAUGUGUGAUUCAGAAGUCACUGCAUUCAAAUAGUGAGAUAGAUACCAAGUUAGGUUUUCAAUGCAACAGAAUAAAUGAUAGUCACAAAAGAGGGUAUCUUUCUGUUUCUAAACACAGAAGGCAGCCUUUAAUUGCUGUCUUGCCUGAAAGUAUUACGAAUAUUCUCUUGACUGGUAAUAACAUUACAUGAAUCACACAUUGGGAAUGCUUGAUUCAGACGUUGGGUCUGAAUACUUUGGGUCUGCCAUACUUUGGCAGGUCAGAUUGUCCCAAAACAAUAUUUUUCUUCAAGAAGUCCAUUAUAAAAAUGAGAAUCAAGGUAAUAAAAUUCCUGAACUGUCAAUUGUCAUUAAGGAUGUAGGUGGUAAGAAACACCAGCUGGAGCGUAAGAAUGUAGUGUAAAAGUGAAAGGUGCAUAAAAAUAUACUUAUUUUUCAGUUUAGCUUCUCCUCUGUUCCAGCAACAGGGUUUAUAGGAAGAUCUCAGCACAGGUAAGCUAUAGGUCUGCCUUCAGGCUCUGGGGUAUGCAUUCAAGCCUGUCCGCAUUUCCUGCCAGUUUAAGUUGUUCAUUAUGAAUACUGGUCCAAAAUGCUCAUCAGUUUUACAGCAUAGGGUAUUAACUUGGAAAUUGCAACUGUGGAUCGCAAUUACUUCCAACACUUUAUACCAAGAUACUACAUUUUCUUUGUUGCAAGAUGAUGGUACCAUAUGGAGAAGGCUAAAAUUCACUGACUGGAGGAAAUGACCUAUCAGUUCUUGAAUUUUUAGUUUCUGCUACUGACUCAGUGACUGGUCUGAGAUAACUUGCAUAUAUUCUUGGUUGUCCAGUAUUAAUUUAUCUUGAUUGUGGAUUGUACAGUGUUUUGCAUAUAUAAAUUACUCUAUUGCUUUUAUUUAUAUUACAAGAAACCUUUAUUAGGAAAUAGAAGUAAUUUAUGGUAGCAUGUGGUAGUUGAGAAAUUAUAUUAUCACCCAGAAAUUGUCACCUGUCUUUUUGCUUUCAAAGAUAUUUCUUAAUGUUUCUUCUGUCUUGCCACUUAAAAUUAAAACAUUCCAAGAUUGUGAAGUAUUUUUCUUUAGAAGCCUUCUGAUGUUGUCAUUUUUGUCAGUCUUCAGAUGUUCAAUUUUUGCAGUGCUCCUGGUUUCCUGCAGAUUUUAUUCUUUCUUCACAGAGUGAUUCAUGUCAUUUUCUAGAAGCAAUGUCUACUGUAUGUUUACAACUUCUGUCACCAGACCCAUGCCAUUAGAAGUCAUACUGUUUCCUGUAAUAAACUCUGCUUUCUUUGUACUUAAAAAUGUCAUAAUUUAUCUCAACUGCUGUUACAACAUUCUUUUUAUUUUCCACCUCUAUUUUGUUUGAUUGCUGUUACACUCCACUCCGUUUUGCAGUAUUGGUGCUUUAUCUGUCUCCUCUGCCUUUUUUAGUUUUGAUUAUGUUGCUGUUUCAGGUCCUUGAUUUUCCAUAUACACAAUGACUUUGAGCUUAUUGUUAUCUGAGAUAUAUAUGGGAAACGUAUUAGCAUAUGCUAACAUAUACACUGCAUGUAGCUAUGAAUGGAAAUGAAUGAUAUAUUACUUGUUAUAUAAUACAUAUCCUAACAGACUAAAUAAUAAAGAAUAAG